CGCACAGGGGAUGAGUGGUUAGCACGUUCGCCUCAUACCGCCAGGGUCGGGGGUUCGAUUCCCACCGCUGCUA